AUUCUUCGAAACUGAUUUACUGUCAACAAUUUUUUCUAUUAGCAUUUGAAUUGUUGAUAUACUUACGAAAAGAGAAUUUUUAAAUUAAAAAAAUUCGACUAAAAUAAAAAAAGUUCUUUGAAACUACAAAUUUCGGGGUGCACAACCUUUUUUAAUACUUGCUCUGCAUGUUGACUAGUGAUAGAAGAUGAAAAUGUUAGACAUCCUUGAAAUUAUUUUAGAAGCUGAAGAUUGCAAACAUGAAAGAAUUGAUGGUGGUAGCAUUUGUAGUUAAAAACAAGAAGCUAUCAGCUGAUCUAAGGCUUGAGAUGGAAAAACAACAAAGGAAUCAAGUUGAAAAUUUGGCAGAAGCUGGAUGUUUAUCUGAUGAUGCUAAAGCUGGAAUAACCCCAGCACCUGAAAUAGUACCAUGUCCUCCACCACCACCUCCACUUUGUAUCGGUUCAUUAAAUGACAAACCUUUAAAUUUGUCAAGAGUGAUGUCUAAAAAUAUUCCUCAGCCAUCAAAUCCUUUGAAAUCCUUUAAUUGGUGUAAACUACCAGAAUGCAUUGGUUCUGUUAUAGAAGAUAUACCAGUAGUGGUGACUAAAGCCAAAUCAAGAGAACUCUCGGUCAUUUAUGGUAGGCAUGCUCAAAAUUGUACAUUGUAGUUGUCAAAAUUAAGACUCUCAAAUGAAGAAACUAGCUUCCUAGAUUCAAUAGAACUUAGUAUGGAUAAUAAGGAAGAGUUACCAAAAGAUAUGGUUGAGCAGCUUUUGAAGUUUAUGCCUAGUCAUGAGGAAAAAGUCCUUUUGGAAGAACAUAGCAUAGA
rnacentral:misc_RNA from 1 species